rnacentral:rRNA from 1 species
CCUACGGGUGGCAGCAGUGGGGGAUAUUGCACAAUGGAGGGAACCCUGAUGCAGCGACGCCGCGUGGGUGAAGAAUCGCCUAGGCGCGUAAAGCCCUGUCAGCAGGGAAGAAAAUGACGGUACCUGAAGAAGAAGCCCCGGAUAACUACGUGCCAGCAGCCGCGGUUAUACGUAGGGGGCAGGCGUUAUCCGGAUUUACUGGGUGUAAAGGAGGCGCAGACGGCGAUGCAAGCAAGGAGUGAAAGCCCGGGGCCAAACCCCGGGACUGCUGUUGGAACUGCGUGGCUGGAGUGCAGGAGGGGCAGGCGGAAUUCGUGGUGUAGCGGUGAAAUGCUUAGAUAUCAGGAGGAACACCGGUGGCGAAGGCGGCCUGCUGGACUGCAACUGACGUUGAGGCCCGAAAGCGUGGGGAGCAAACAGGAUUAGAUACCCGUGUAGUC